GGUUGGGUGCAAUGAUCUCUGGAGGUUCCUUCCAACCCUUAUGAUUCUGUAAACCCUCAGCGCAAGAUAGUCUGUCCUAGAGAAAAGCAGAAAGUAAAUUUUUUUAUUUGUUUUUGUCUUUUUAACCUUUUCCAGAUGGAUUCUUUUAGUGUUUUGUUUUUGGUCUUUUUAUGAAUUAAGAAGAAUUAGAAAUUUUCACUAAUUGGGAUCAGAGGGAUAAAGAAGAAAGAUGUAUAAAAGGAGGAAGAAAAUGGAUCUAUGGAUUGAACUUGUUUUAUGCUUAACAUUUUAGAAAAUCCAUAAAAUAAUCAAUUCUGAGUACAUAUGAAGCACAUUUUGAAACUGAGGAUUUUGCAUCUACGCGUCAUACAAAAAGCUGCCUGUUGAGUUUACAGGCAUAUUUUAUUCUUUAUUUGCUGCUGUUUCUGAGACAUCCAAGUUGGGCCUGCCAUGUAUUAGAGCUGUUUCUGUGGCUACUGCCUGAUCCUCACCUACUGUAUGUGACUAACUAGCUCCACCUGAGUGGAGAUAAACUACUGGAAUUCUUAUUACUGCACUGUGACAAAAUAGUUUAAAUCACAGCCUUCAAGUAACUGUAGAAAACAACUGUUUAUACAAGGUAUUUUCUCCUGCUUAACAUAAUACCAUAUACUAUUUGUUACCAGUUUCAAAUUUCACAUUAUUUUUUGGAAAGUGGUAAACAAGUGGUAAAUGCUAAUUUAUCUGGAAAAAAAGAAAUGGACAAAAAUUUGAUUUGUGAAAGAAAGAGAGGAACUCUGGAGUGAUGUGGAUUGAUUUUUAGUGGAGGAGGAGUGAAUUGAAUGAUAAAACUGAAUUUGUUUGCUAUCAUUAUACAUGUGGCAUAAAUACCCUGUGAGGCUGCGUAUAAUCAAAUUGUAGGGAGAAAUUGGGUGGGAUAAAUGUUGAGAGGACAUUCAUUAGUUUAAGAAGGUCUGGCUGGAAGCGUAAAAGGAACUGACAUGGAAUGGGGAGCUAUGAUAAUGCACAUGAAGAAAUCCAAUGAAUACUAAGAAGAGUGUAGUGUGGAGAAAAUAGCUGGAGAAAACCAAGGCAGGUGUUUAUUUCUGACAAAAUUUUGU
rnacentral:lncRNA from 1 species